rnacentral:rRNA from 1 species
CCUACGGGUGGCAGCAGUGGGGGAUAUUGCACAAUGGGGGAAACCCUGAUGCAGCGACGCCGCGUGAGUGAAGAAGUAUUUCGGUAUGUAAAGCUCUAUCAGCAGGGAAGAAAAAAGACGGUACCUGACUAAGAAGACUCGGCUAACUACGUGCCAGCAGCCGCGGUAAUACGUAGGGGGCAAGCGUUAGCCGGAUUUACUGGGUGUAAAGGGAGCGUAGACGGCAAUACAAGUCGGAAGUGAAAUACCCGGGCUCAACCUGGGAACUGCUUUGGAAACUGUAUGGCUGGAGUGCUGCUGAGGUAGGCGGAAUGCGUAGUGUAGCGGUGAAAUGCGUAGAUAUUAGGAGGAACACCGAUGGCGAAGGCAGCUUGCUAAACAGUAACUGACGUUGAGGCUCGAAAGCGUGGGGAGCGAACAGGAUUAGAUACCCGAGUAGUC